rnacentral:rRNA from 1 species
GUAGGGUGCAAGCGUUAAUCGGAUUUACUGGGUGUAAAGGGAGCGCAGGCGGCGCGGCAAGUCAGAUGUGAAAGCCCGGGGCUCAACCCCGGGACUGCAUUUGAAACUGCCGGGCUAGAGUGUCGGAGAGGCAAGUGGAAUUCCUAGUGUAGCGGUGAAAUGCGUAGAUAUUAGGAGGAACACCAGUGGCGAAGGCGGCUUGCUGGACGAUCACUGACGCUGAGGCUCGAAAGCGUGGGGAGCAAA